rnacentral:rRNA from 1 species
UACGUAGGAGGCGAGCGUUGUCCGGAAUCAUUGGGCGUAAAGAGCGCGCAGGCGGCUUGGCAAGUCGGGGUGUGAAAGUCCCGGGGCUCAACCCCGGGACUGCAUUCGAUACUGUCAGGCUAGAGGUAGGUAGGGGAGAUCGGAAUUCCUGGUGUAGCGGUGGAAAUGCGCAGAUAUCAGGAGGAACACCGGUGGCGAAGGCGGAUCUCUGGGCCUUACCUGACGCUCAGGCGCGAAAGCUAGGGGAGCGAACAGG